rnacentral:rRNA from 1 species
UACGUAGGGCGCAAGCGUUAUCCGGAAUUAUUGGGCGUAAAGAGCUCGUAGGCGGUUUGUCGCGUCUGCCGUGAAAGUCCGGGGCUCAACUCCGGAUCUGCGGUGGGUACGGGCAGACUAGAGUGAUGUAGGGGAGACUGGAAUUCCUGGUGUAGCGGUGAAAUGCGCAGAUAUCAGGAGGAACACCGGUGGCGAAGGCGACAUCCUGGACCGGUAUUGACGCUGAGGCGCGAAAGCCAGGGGAGCAAACGGGG